AAGACCCCCCACAGUUUCGCACAGGUUGUGGGAGGAGAACUCUAAUUGCAGAGGAGGGAUUUCAGUGGUUUCUUUCAGGAAUGAGUAUGUAACCAGAUCUUGAAGUCCACGGGAAUGUUGAGCGCAUAGUUUGGUCUGCUGGUUGAAGCCAGCUUUGCUGUGUCUCUCUGAGUACAAGCAGAACAAUCGCACCAAGAAAAAGCCUUAAGCAAUUUUGUUUCCUAAAAAGAUGCCAGACCACUGAAGAAAGGACAGUUUGGUUUAGCUUAAGAAUGCAAGGACCCUAGAAGCAGCCUGAGAGAGCAAACUAUGCUUUCCUUUCCCCCCUUCACUUAAAAGACAUCUUUUUGAGUAGCUAGCCAAGAGGAAGAGAAGGCCAAACAUCACUGAUAAAACAGGAUCAUGUGGACAUUUGCUCGCCCGCCCCCACACGUGGAAGAUUCUGCGGUGGCUGAGUCCUGUCAGUCCUGCCACAUUUCCCCAAGACUGAAUAGGACAAUGAGUGCUUCAGAAUGACAGUCACUUCAUAGUUAAAAAUGCUCGUGUCCCAACCAGGUCAUCUAUCAAACGUGCUCUUUCAUUAAUAUUUAAGGAACACAGUGGCCUCUGCAGUCAACAACAAAAACCAAAACAAUAGAAAAAAAAAAUGCUGCAGUGGAGAAAUGCUUCCAACGUGGACAGGAGUAAAAGGCCAAAGUUCUUCCUCUGAAUAAUGAACCACCAACUUCAGAGUGUAACCGGACACAAUCUUACUGAGGAGAAUUACAGAAGCUCCCCCAGCCUGUGGGGAACCUGGGGAAGCGACACAGCUGCAGUCUGCACUCACUCACUGCCAGAUGCUUUCUCUCCACAAGUGAGGAGUGAGCAAGGACACUGAAGCCUGCAUAGCGACUCUGUGGCUUAAUCCAGAUUACAAAGUCAGUCUUUGGGCUAGAAGCUAUCAGUGGACAUUAAAGCUUCUGAUAAAAGCUCUUCAGUCCUUCCACUAAGCCAUUUUGCUUUAGAUAAUUACUGUAUAAAAACUGCUGAAAAUGGAAAAGCAUCUGAAGCAAAGCAGAUAUAAGUUCAAUAUUUAAACUUUAUUUUAAAUAAAUAUUUGAUGUAC